UCUCCUCUAUAUAUAAGCUCCCUCCUCGCCAUUUCACCCAUUCACUAACUUUUCCACUUCUCACAGCUCUCAAAUAAAACUCUCAUCGGAAAAGUUAAGAUUCCGACCAAGUCCCAAACUCAAACGCCGGAAAAAUGUCGAUGAGCUCGAGCAACACCUGGUUACUGUCUCUCAAGGUCGUUCUCAUCUCCACCGGUUUGGUGUCCAUGGCCGUGGCGCUAAAGCUCUCAGCUCCAGUGGUUUCGGACAUCGUCGCCUCCCAAGUCCCUUCUCUCUGGAGCUCAGCGCUGUCCUGGCUCAGACCUCCCUACCUCUACAUCCUCAUCAACUGCAUCAUCAUCAGCAUCGUCGCCUCCUCCAAGCUCCAUAGCGGCGGUGGACGGCGGCGAUGAGGCCGUGCGGGUGUCGACGCCUGUGCGGACGCGUUUGCAGAGGAAAGACUCUAUGGAGUUUUGGUUGAACGAGAACGAGAAACCUCCCGUUUCUUCUAGAUUUGGUCAUAGAAAAUUCGCCAGAGCUAGCCCUGAAGGUGGGAAGUCGUUGGGAGUGGCGAAGCCGAAGCGGCAGGACACGCUUGAGAGCACGUGGAAGACGAUAACGGAGGGGCGUUCGAUGCCGUUAACUAGGCACCUGAAGAAGUCCGACACGUGGGACACGCAUGUGCGGAGUGUGGACCAGAACACGCCUCCCAAGUCCAAGAUGAACAAGUCCGAGACGUUCCAGGACCCAAGCAGCGCAACCGUUAACUCGCCGUCGCUGCUGAGUCCGUCGACCGGGUCGGGUCGGCUCAGGAAGGAACCGUCGCUGAGUCAGGACGAUUUGAACCGCCGAGUGGAGGCGUUCAUCAAGAAGUUCAACGAGGAGAUGAGGCUGCAGAGGCAGGAGUCGUUGAAUCAGUACCAUGAGAUGAUUAGAAGUGGCGCCCGGGCUCCAUUGGCUCAUUAGUUUCAGUUUCAGUUAUUUAUCUCUUUUGUCCUUUUUUUCUGUUUUUGUUUAUAAUUUUAAACAAAGCAAACAGAGCAUUCGGCGGGCAAUAGGCAAUUACCAUAUGUUAAUUAU